rnacentral:rRNA from 1 species
CUUAGGGAGGAGCUUGCGUCACAUUAGUUAGUUGGUGGGGUAAAGGCCUACCAAGACUAUGAUGUGUAGCCGGGCUGAGAGGUUGAACGGCCACAUUGGGACUGAGACACGGCCCAAACUCCUACGGGAGGCAGCAGUAGGGAAUUUUCGGCAAUGGAGGAAACUCUGACCGAGCAACGCCGCGUGAACGAUGAAGUAUUUCGGUACGUAAAGUUCUUUUAUUAGGGAAGAAUAAAUGAUGGAAAAAUCAUUCUGACGGUACCUAAUGAAUAAGCCCCGGCUAACUAUGUGCCAGCAGCCGCGGUAAUACAUAGGGGGCAAGCGUUAUCCGGAAUUAUUGGGCGUAAAGGGUGCGUAGGCGGUUAAAUAAGUUUAUGGUCUAAGUGCAAUGCUCAACAUUGUGAUGCUAUAAAAACUGUUUAGCUAGAGUAAGAUAGAGGCAAGUGGAAUUCCAUGUGUAGUGGUAAAAUGCGUAAAUAUAUGGAGGAACACCAGUAGCGAAGGCGGCUUGCUGGGUCUUUACUGACGCUGAGGCACGAAAGCGUGGGGAGCAAACAGGAUUAGAUACCCUGGUAGUCCACGCCGUAAACGAUGAGUACUAAACGUUGGGUAAAACCAGUGUUGAAGUUAACACAUUAAGUACUCCGCCUGAGUAGUACGUACGCAAGUAUGAAACUUAAAGGAAUUGACGGGACUCCGCACAAGCGGUGGAUCAUGUUGUUUAAUUCGAAGGUACCCGAAAAACCUCACCAGGUCUUGACAUGCUUCUGCAAAACUGUAGAAACACAGUGGAGGUUAUCAGUUGCACAGGUGGUGCAUGGUUGUCGUCAGCUCGUGUCGUGAGAUGUUGGGUUAAGUCCCGCAACGAGCGCAACCCUUAUUGNUAGUUACCAGCACGUAAUGGUGGGGACUUUAGCA